UGGCAAACGUUUGAUGUUAUGAUGUGGACAAUCUAUGACGUGUGCUUUGCUCGACAUUGAUAUCAUCAGUUGGAAGCCGAUCACCUAAAAUCAGCUAUCGGAUGAGGUCUACAUCAUCAGUGCUCUGCCGAUCUCACCUCAUUUCCGCUCUGAUCCUCCAUAAGCUAUCCUAUAAUUCGGACGCUACAAGAAGCUGUUAGCAUGCAAAUUCUGUUGAGUUGGCAUUUUGUUGUAAUGGCCUACAUAGGCAGUUGGCCUUGUAACUA
rnacentral:lncRNA from 1 species